rnacentral:lncRNA from 1 species
UUAGAGUCAAGUCAUUUGGCUUAAGAUUUGGGGGGCAAUCUGACUCACAGAAUUUUUCCAGAAAGGAAUGGGUCAUAAGUUUGGGGAAGCUGAUAUUUAACGACCCAGUUUUGGGGCUAAAAAGUUCAUCGUGGUUUAUCUUAACAACAGCUUUACUUUGUGAGAGGCUGAGUGGCAAAGUGAAGAAGAGGUUCUGGUCCUUCCUUUCCCUCCUGGCUUUCCGCCCUCGUCAGCCAUUCAUCGUGGGCAGCACUGGUUUACGUGUCAUCAUCAUUCUUUGGGAGCUCAAGGAUUUGGUUGUGUAGAGGAAGGCAGACAAACAGAGGAGGGCACACUCUCUCACAAGCUGUGGGACCUCAGGAUAGUCCAUUAGCCUCUCUGAGUCUGUUUCACCAGGAAGGGGCUUGGUGGGUGAGAUAGUGGUUGUCAACUGCGGCUCUCCAUUAGAAGCCCUUUGGGGAGCUUUGAAAGAACACCAAUGACCUGGCUGGCCCCGCUCCCAGAAAGCCUGCCUAACCUGCUCUGAGGUAGGGCCCUGGCGCUGGUGUUUUUUUAAAAGCUCCCAAAGUGAUUCUGAUGUGUAGCCGAGGUUAAGAACCACUAGAUGAUGGCUCUCAAGCUUUUGGAAACUGUGGGACUCCUGCUUUUCCUGAAUAGAGUCUGUUCGCUGUUUAUCUCAGCAGAAGGGAGAAGGCAGGAGCUGGAAAUCACCAUCCUUCUUUUGGACUGGUAAAAACAUCACGUGACAGCAGUAAAGCUCUGGCUUAGGUGACCACCUGUUGGCCAACACUUGGACUUUGGGUGGAUAGCUUACCUCAAUAGGAUGCAGAGAACACGCAUUCCAGAAAUAACAGGUGCCCACAUUUUCUUUCUCAGAAGACACUUUCAUAAUGCCAGCAGCUAAUUAUCAUACCAAGGAAACAAAAACUGUGAGGGAGAGCAGAGGCGGCUUGGCAGCACCAUUGAGUUGUACAAACCAUGACUCAUUCUUGUUCUAGGCUGAAGCAUCUUUGUAGCAUCUCUCUGAAAAGUACCCCGUGGUUGCUUUGCAAAGGGAAGAAGGCAACAUACUUUGCUGUGGGCCCAAAGGGAAAGGGAACUCGUCUGCAAUCUCCUGCAUCAUCUAGUUGGAUCAGACCACACCUCCCAGAGAACUUUCCAAGACACAGACCUGAGUUCUUACUCUGCCUGAAGGACUUUGCAGGAGACGUGCCAUGAGCUGGGUCUCUUCCAGCCGCCAAGCAUCCUUCUGCCCAGUCCCACUGUCUGUUUUGUGACCAUCCUCAACAGUCGAUGCAUCAACACCAAAAUAUUUGGGAGCU